UCUCAGAGGCUCUGGGAGGUCAACUGUUCAAGUCUAGCCUUUUCUAAAUCUUACUGGGGGAAAACCCUGAACAUGAACCAUUAGAGAAGAGGGCGACCCCCCUAAUAACCCCAUAAUAACAGGGCCCGGCUGCUGGGCAUUGUCAACCGGGAAAUAACUCGGUCGCUGCUUUUCUGGCGAAGACGUGUCAUAGCCUGGGAUAGUAGCCUGGGGUCACAGGGCCACACCGAACGCCCGCAGCUCACUCUACCUUCUCUCUGCAGAAAAAGCGUGAAGCUGCUCCUCAUCGGUGCCCACUUAGAAGUUGGUUGAUGAAGGCUGCAGUGCGCACCCCCAGUAAGGGUAAAACUGGCACAUUUGGGCUGAAAUGGGGUGCUCUGGGCCUGGUAGGCUCAGGUAUGCCCUUGGUAAGUUCCAGCUUACAGAGAAGAGCGUUCACUUUGUUUCUGGUGGCAGGGUGAAAAGGACACCUACGUGGCCAAAGGUUACGCGUUUUCCCUCACUGCGAACUGACAGCCUUGUUCGGAGUACAGCCACCACUGACUUCUGGCCCUGGAGGUCUCAUUCACCGGAGACCCUUAACGUCUCCGGCCGAGAAACGAGGGGACGGUAGCUCCCUCUCUCGGCCGAGCUGAACCCCUACCCCCUCUUCCUGUGACCCGAGCCUACUGCGAGACCCGGCCACCGCCAAGUGGGGCGACGUUUCACUCUUAGAGCAGCUUCCCGACCUCUGUUAACUCCCAGGCCGUUUCCGAAGGCGCAAAGUGGAGAAGGAAAAGUUCGGAGAGAAAACAUUGCUCUCUAGCCUCCUGCAACGUCCAGUUCCGCUCUUCCUUCCCCUGAGGUCCAAACUUUAUACUGUCCACCAGGGGAGACCGUCCCCCAACUCGGCUGUCCCUCACUAACGCGGUGGCCCCGACCGAGGGUCCCAGAUGAGCUUCCCGCGGCGCGUGCGGGCGCAACAGGGUAAUUGCGCUCCAGGCGUGGAACCCCAGUCCUGGGUGAUGUGAAACCAACCCCAAGCGGGCUGUGCUCACAGUUUGGGAAGAGGCAAUGUCUCGGAUCCCCCAUAUCUACCCCUCCCCCAACCCUUGAGGGCAGAUUCUGGUACCGCAGAACCGCCAGGCACAGAAGGGAGGAGAGCUGGGACGGACUCCCGGGGAGGGGAUCACCUCCAAGUUCCCGCUCCAAGAGCUUGGUAGCUAGCUGCUAGUAGUUCAGACUUCUGCCCUCGGGGAAAGAGUACCAGGGAAGAAAGAGACUAAGAAAUCCUCAAACGCCGGUGGAACCAGACCCGGGAGGAAGGGCCCAAAUGGGCGCGGCCGUCUGCGAGGUCAGCUUAGCCUCUACUGGACGGUGGAACCCUGAGCGCUGAGGCUGUGCGGUCGCGGGAUUUUAUUGGGCCUCGCCAGCUUCCACAGUCUGCUGCAGUCUGUGGGAUGGGGAGGGAUAAAAUGCAGACUUUGGUUUAUUUUGAAAAUCGGUAUUCUGUCUGAACUACCACGUGAAUGGUUUGCUUUUGUCGCUUGCAGAACCAGGACGAUCUUUGCAAAAACUUCUGCACUAGUUUAUCUAACUAAUGAAAUAAAUGAAGGUUAAAACAAAUAAACAAACAAACAAACCCAGA